rnacentral:rRNA from 1 species
GUCACUGACGCUGAGGAGCGAAAGCGUGGGGAGCGAACAGGAUUAGAUACCCUGGUAGUCCACGCCGUAAACGGUGGAUGCUGGAUGUGGGGCCCUUUCCACGGGUCCCGUGUCGGAGCCAACGCGUUAAGCAUCCCGCCUGGGGAGUACGGCCGCAAGGCUAAAACUCAAAGAAAUUGACGGGGGCCCGCACAAGCGGCGGAGCAUGCGGAUUAAUUCGAUGCAACGCGAAGAACCUUACCUGGGCUUGACAUGUGCCGGAUCGCCGUGGAGACACGGUUUCCCUUCGGGGCCGGUUCACAGGUGGUGCAUGGUCGUCGUCAGCUCGUGUCGUGAGAUGUUGGGUUAAGUCCCGCAACGAGCGCAACCCUCGCCGCAUGUUGCCAGCGGGUGAUGCCGGGAACUCAUGUGGGACCGCCGGGGUCAACUCGGAGGAAGGUGGGGAUGACGUCAGAUCAUCAUGCCCCUUACGUCCAGGGCUUCACGCAUGCUACAAUGGCCGGUACAACGCGGUGCGACACGGUGACGUGGGUCGGAUCGCUGAAAACCGGUCUCAGUUCGGAUCGCAGUCUGCAACUCGACUGCGUGAAGGCGGAGUCGCUAGUAAUCGCGGAUCAGCAACGCCGCGGUGAAUGCGUUCCCGGGCCUUGUACACACCGCCCGUCAAGUCAUGAAAGUGGGUAGCACCCGAAGCCGGUGGCCC